rnacentral:tRNA from 1 species
GGGGUUGUGGUUCAGUGGUAGAGUGCUUGCCUAGCACUCAUGAGGCACUGAGUUCAAUUCUCAGCACCA